CUGAAGAGGAGGGCGCAAUAAGAGUAUAAUGCCAGAAACAGGGAUCAUGUAGUAUCACCUUAGGUUCAAUAUGUCACCAUCACUGUCCUUACAUUCUCUUAGAUUCCCAGUUUUCUCAUCAGUAUUAUCAGGAUAUGACAGAAGGAUGGUCAGACACCUUUCAUGAGUUCAGGCAGCACCAUUUCUAAUGAGCACUACUAUGCACUACCCAACUACCACUCUGGGCAGCAUCACCGCCGUCACCAGGAUCAACAGCCUUGUCGACCAUGACCAUCCGCUGGGAGCAAGAAACAGGUGGUCUCCCCUUCCUGAGGCUUUGAGGACAAAUAGACGCUACCUAAGCAAAGUGAAAGAGACAGAGACAGGCACAGAAUUCUUUCUUUCUUAGCCCAAUCCAAAUCAAACAUUUUUGCUUCCCUUAUGAUGACUGAAGCAAUCAAUCACUCAGUAAUUGUCUGCCCCAA